GACAGAGGGGGCGAGCGGUGUCCGGCGUCACGGGGCGUAAAGCGCGCGCCGGCGGUGCCCUAAGUGUCGUGUGAAAGCCCCCGGCUCAACUGGGGGAGGUCACGGCAGACUGGGUCGCUCGAGCUGCGGAGAGGCCCCUCGAAUUGCCGGUGUAGCGGUGAAAUGCGUAGAGAUCGGCAGGAAAACCAAGGGGGAAGCCAGGGGGCUGGCCGCAUGCUGACGCUGAGGCGCGACAGCGUGGGGAGCAAACCGG
rnacentral:rRNA from 1 species